AGUGAACGCUGGCGGCGUGCUUAACACAUGCAAGUCGAACGAGAACGGAUUAUAGCUUGCUAUAAUUGUCAGCUAAGUGGCGCACGGGUGAGUAAUGUAUAGGUAAUAUGCCUCUUACUAAGGGAUAACAAAUGGAAACGUUUACUAAUACCUUAUACUCCUUAUUAACCUAAGUUAAUAAGGGAAAGAUUUAUUGGUAAGAGAUUAGCCUGUAUUGUAUCAGUUAGUUGGUGGGGUAAUGGCUUACCAAGACUAUGACACAUAACUGGUUUGAGAGGAUGAUCAGUCACACUGGAACUGAGACACGGUCCAGACUCCUACGGGAGGCAGCAGUGGGGAAUAUUGCACAAUGGACGAAAGUCUGAUGCAGCAACGCCGCGUGGAGGAUGACACAUUUCGGUGCGUAAACUCCUUUAUAUGAGAAGAUAAUGACGGUAUUAUAUGAAUAAGCACCGGCUAACUCCGUGCCAGCCGCCGCCGUAA
rnacentral:rRNA from 1 species